ACUCCUACGGGAGGCAGCAGUGGGGAAUAUUGCACAAUGGGGAAACCCUGAUGCAGCCAUGCCGCGUGUGUGAAGAAGGCCUUCGGUUGUAAAGCACUUUCAGUAGGGAGGAAGGUAGUGUAGUUAACACCUGCACUAUUUGACGUUACCUACAGAAGAAGCACCGGCUAACUCCGUGCCAGCAGCCGCGGUAAUACGGAGGGGUGCGAGCGUUAAUCGGAAUUACUGGGCGUAAAGCGCAUGCAGGCGGCCUGUUAAGUCAGAUGUGAAAGCCCGGGGGCUUAACCUCGGAAUUGCAUUUGAAACUGGCAGGCUAGAGUCUUGUAGAGGGGGUAGGAAUUUCAGGUGUAGCGGUGAAAUGCGUAGAGAUCUGAAGGAAUACCAGUGGCGAAGGCGGCCCCCUGGA
rnacentral:rRNA from 1 species